rnacentral:rRNA from 1 species
CCUACGGGAGGCAGCAGUGGGGAAUAUUGGACAAUGGAGGAAACUCUGACCCAGCAACGCCGCGUGAAUGAUGAAGGUCUUCGGAUUGUAAAGUUCUUUUCUAAGGGAAGACGAAAGUGACGGUACCUUAGGAAUAAGCCUCGGCUAACUACGUGCCAGCAGCCGCGGUAAUACGUAGGAGGCAAGCGUUAUCCGGAAUGACUGGGCGUAAAGGGUGCGUAGGUGGUUUGACAAGUUGGUAGCGUAACUCCGAGGCUUAACCUCGGCACUACUACCAAAACUGUUGGACUCGAGUGCAGGAGGGGCAAAUGGAAGUCCUAGUGUAGCGGUGGAAUGCGUAGAUAUUAGGAGGAACACCAGUGGCGAAGGCGAUUUGCUGGACUGUAACUGACACUGAGGCACGAAAGCGUGGGGAGCAAACAGGAUUAGAUACCCCGGUAGUC